GAAUCCGCUAAGGAGUGUGUAACAACUCACCUGCCGAAUGAAUUAGCCCUGAAAAUGGAUGACGCUUAAGCGAGCUGCCGACACCCGGCCGUCUGGGCAAAGUGGCAUUUUUUUCCAGAUGAGUAGGAGGGCGCGGCGGUUGUAUCGAAGCGCGGGUGCGAACUUGCGUGGAACGGCCGCUGGUGCAGAUCUUGGUGUUAGUAGCAAAUAUUCAAAUGAGAACCUUGAAGGGCGAAGCGGGGAAGGGUUCCACGCGAACAUUGAUUGAGCGUGGGUGAGUCGUUCCUAAACCGAGUGGCAAUGGCUAAUUAUCGGUGAAAGGGAAGCCGGUUGAAAUUCCGGCACACGGAUGUGGAUGGCGGUGACGCACCAUCUGAGGCAAUGACGCCGGCGAUGGAUCUGGGCAGAGUUUUCUUUUCUGUUUGACCGUUCUUGGACGUACUCUGUGGAAUCCGCUUGUCGGGAGAAACAGGUAUCGUUUGGGCAGAGCGCCGGGGCUUUUCCGGCGUCCAGAUCUCCAUCGACGGCCCUUGAAAAAUUGUCUGCUGGCAAUGGAUUGCGAGAGUUUUCUUAUGAUGCUCUGUGCUAAUCUGUUGUGGGAAAAAUUCCACGCCGUAACGUACCCAUAACCGCAUCAGGUCCCCAAGGUGAACAGCCUCUGCUCAGUAUGAAGAAGCAGGUAAGGGAAGUCGGCA
rnacentral:rRNA from 1 species